GAUGAAGAACGCAGCAAAAUGCGAUAGGUAAUGUGAAUUGCAGAAUUCAGUGAAUCAUCGAAUCUUUGAACGCACAUUGCGCCCGCUGGUAUUCCGGCGGGCAUGCCUGUUCGAGCGUCAUUUCAACCCUCAAGCCCCCGGGUUUGGUGUUUGGGAUCGGCUCUGCCCUUCUGGGCGGUGCCGCCCCCGAAAUACAUUGGCGGUCUCGCUGCAGCCUCCAUUGCGUAGUAGCUAACACCUCGCAACUGGAACGCGGCGCGGCCAUGCCGUAAAACCCCAACUUCUGAAUGUUGACCUCGGAUCAGGUAGGAAUACCCGCUGAACUUAAGCAUAUCAAUAAGCGGAGGA
rnacentral:misc_RNA from 1 species